rnacentral:rRNA from 4 species
AGUCGAACGGUAAGGCCCUUCGGGGUACACGAGUGGCGAACGGGUGAGUAACACGUGGGUGAUCUGCCCUGCACUUCGGGAUAAGCUUGGGAAACUGGGUCUAAUACCGGAUAUGACUACGAAUCGCAUGGUUUGUGGUGGAAAGCUUUUGCGGUGUGGGAUGGGCCCGCGGCCUAUCAGCUUGUUGGUGGGGUGAUGGCCUACCAAGGCGACGACGGGUAGCCGGCCUGAGAGGGUGACCGGCCACACUGGGACUGAGAUACGGCCCAGACUCCUACGGGAGGCAGCAGUGGGGAAUAUUGCACAAUGGGCGCAAGCCUGAUGCAGCGACGCCGCGUGAGGGAUGACGGCCUUCGGGUUGUAAACCUCUUUCAGUAGGGACGAAGCGCAAGUGACGGUACCUAUAGAAGAAGGACCGGCCAACUACGUGCCAGCAGCCGCGGUAAUACGUAGGGUCCGAGCGUUGUCCGGAAUUACUGGGCGUAAAGAGCUCGUAGGUGGUUUGUCGCGUUGUUCGUGAAAACUCACAGCUCAACUGUGGGCGUGCGGGCGAUACGGGCAGACUGGAGUACUGCAGGGGAGACUGGAAUUCCUGGUGUAGCGGUGGAAUGCGCAGAUAUCAGGAGGAACACCGGUGGCGAAGGCGGGUCUCUGGGCAGUAACUGACGCUGAGGAGCGAAAGCGUGGGGAGCGAACAGGAUUAGAUACCCUGGUAGUCCACGCCGUAAACGGUGGGUACUAGGUGUGGGUUUCCUUCCUUGGGAUCCGUGCCGUAGCUAACGCAUUAAGUACCCCGCCUGGGGAGUACGGCCGCAAGGCUAAAACUCAAAGAAAUUGACGGGGGCCCGCACAAGCGGCGGAGCAUGUGGAUUAAUUCGAUGCAACGCGAAGAACCUUA